GCACGCCCAUCUAGUGCAAGUCAUGUUACUUUGUAAUUGUGCACAGUGUUUGUGUUGUGUAGAAGUACGUAGUUAAGUUCGACACUCUUCUCUUCUUAUGCACUCUUGGUUCUGUCAAUAAUGAGUGCUAGUGUAUGUCUAGGGUACCAAGCCCCGUUAUCUCCUAUGCCUAUUACUAGAUCUAGAUCUAGAUCACUUUCUGAUGUCCGGCCUGCUAGCACUGUAGAAGAUCUGGAGGAAGACCUACGGAAACAACAAAAACGAAGGAGGAUAUUCGACGAUGCUCUAAGAGAUGGAAUAGUGACUGUGAAAAUAACUAAUGCUCUAAUUCAAGGAGAAGCUGGAGUUGGAAAAACUUGUAUCAAGCGCAUUCUUUGUAAUCAGGGCUCUGCCAGCUCUAGAGAUAGCACUCCUCUUGCCGAUAUUUCUGUUCAUGUUAGAGAUGUAACUGAUGUCAAGGUCCAUUCCCAUAACAACAAAUGGAAAGAAGUAAACGAUGAAAAACUGCAUGAAAUUGUUGGAGCUAUGAUUUCGGGCGUAGUUCGUGAAAUUCAGGCAAAAGAUCCGACAGAGAUAAUAAAUUCAGCUGACAAGCAACCAGCUAAUAAAACACCUUCCACAUUGCUACCACUGGCUCAACUUGAGUUACUGAUUGCUGAUCUUCGUGAUAAAGUAGUGGAUUCACAUCAUCCAAGAUCACAAGAUGCACGACAAAUUCUAGGCUCCAACUGGAUCUAUUUUAUCGACAGUGGUGGCCAGCCUCACUUUCACAAUCUUCUACCUCAUUUUUUACAUGGUAUUAGCAUUGCUUUGUUUACUCUGAAGCUUUCAGAACAAUUGGACUCUCAUUCUAUGGUUGAGUAUUACGAAAACGGCAAACUGAUUUCAACUCCAUACCAAUCACCUCUUACAACUAUUGAUACCCUCAAGUGUCUCGUUCGCUCAAUGCAGUCUCAUACUAUCAAUGGAGAAAAACCUACUCUUGUCAUUGUAGGCACCUUUCGGGACGAAAUCAAUAAACGUUAUGAAACUGUACAGGAAAAGAAUGAGCGACUACUUAAAAUUCUUUCACCAGAAUUUACUGACCAGCUUGUUUUUUGUAACGAAACUGAGGAUGAAUUGAUAUUUGCUCUUAAUGGAAAGGAUCCAGGCCCUCAUGAAGAAAGAAUGGCCAAAAUGAUAAGAUCUAUCGUCGAUGACUCUCCUUCUAAAGUAAUCGAAAUGCCGAUUUGGUGGUACGUGCUGGAAAUGUCACUAAAAGAAAUGUCAAAUCGUCUCAACAGGAAAGUAUUGAGCAUACAAGAGUGUCUGGAAGUCGCAAAGCAAAUACAUAUCGAAGAAAAUGCACUUGUGGAGGCUUUGAAAUUCUUUCAUGAACAACACAUUUUUCACUACUAUGUCGACAUCUUGCCUAACGUUGUCUUCACUAGCUCUCAAGUUCUCCUGGACAAGCUGACAGAGUUGGUCAAGGAAGCAUACGAUAAAAGGAUUAAAUCAACAGCCACUGCUGGACGGGCUAAAGCUUCAAAAGGAAAAUGGCAGAAAUUUCGAGAUAAAGGAAUCAUAACACUAGAGUUUGUUGAACAUUUUUCUAAGCACUACGUAGAAGGAUUGUUUUCUCCACCCGACCUCCUCAAAAUAUUCAUGAAUCUUCUCAUUCUAACACCGUUUUCGUCAGAAAUAGAUGUCACAUCACGUACGGCUCAAUACUUCAUGCCCUCACUUUUAGAUAUGCUAACACAAGACAAAAUAAUGGAAUAUCAUGUUGAGUCUGUUUUAGUGAGUCCGUUGUUAAUAAAAUUCUCUAAUGGUUGGCCACGUGCAGGAGUGUUUUGUUGCCUUCAAGUUUAUCUAAUUCAUCAGUUGGGUUGGAAGUUUCUGCUGAUUAGGGGAAAGCCGAAAGUAAUUGCUCAGAAUUGUGUACUGUUGUCUCCUCCAGGCAGUAGUUGCCGGGUUACUCUGAUCGACUCUUUUUCGUAUAUUGAAGUACACGUGGAGGGAAGCAAAGAUGUUUGUUCUGCGAUGUGUCCGACAAUUCAAAAUCAAAUUGUUUGUGGAAUACAUGCUUCUUGUAAAAUACUUCGUUACAUUGAGGAGCAGCCACAGUCAGCUUUCUUUUGUCCUUGUACACCGUAUUCUGUGCAGGCCAUGGAUAUUCCUCGUUUCCACGCUGCAGAACUACUCUUGAAAGAGGGCUAUCUAAGAUGCACUAUUGAUGAGACUUACACGUCGAGGGUCAAGUCUGAACAAAUGAUCUGGUUCCAAACUACAGCACCGGCUACUAGGGACACUGUAGGAUCAUCGGCUCAACCAGUGAGUGAAACUCUUCAAGGGCUAAUCGACAAAUAUCAGCUCACUACUUCACAAGUCAACCAUGAAAUCCAGCAAGAAGACGUAUCGUAUUUGGCUGCCUGUUUCGACAAUGUGGAGUAUUAUAUGGACGUUCUGGGUUUGUCCUCCGGAGAACAAACUGAUGUCAUCCAAAAAGCAGAUACUCACGCAGCCAUGAUCAAGUGCUUGAACAUCUGGAAAAGAAAGAAGCUCCCUCAAGCGACAUUCAGGGCCCUUCUGGAGAUGUUAGUAAAACUGAAGAAAGGGACGAUUGCUGUUCAAGUCUGUCAGUAUAUGAAGGGAAUUCCCGCUGCAUCUGUUGGAGAGCAGCACACUGUUGAACAAGCAGCUCAUGCCGCCACAAAGUUGGAUGCCUUCCUAUCAAGCAAUGGAUUGACAUACGAAGACGCAAAUAGAGAGUGCAGAGAUCAACACAUAUUUGAUAUUUCACUGUAUAUGGAAAACUGGGAGCUGGUAGCAACGCGGCUGGGAUUAACGGUAGAUGAAAUUGAAUACAUCAGACAUAGCAGUCUAACUAUAGGGAUGAUGAGAUAUGACAGUAUUAAGAAAUGGAAAUCUAAGAAUCUAUUCAGUGGAACAGCUACGUAUCGAGUUCUACUACAAGCUUUGUUGGAUCGUGGCUGCAAUGACCAAGCAAGCAAGUGUGCUCGCUACAUACUCAAGGAAUCACUACAACCCUAACCCUACAAAAUAUAAUUAAUAGUACUAAUUGUGUGUUGUUUGUUUUUUGCUUGAUGAUCUUUUACCAGAAAAUUAUAUUGAUAUAAGGAAAAGGGAAAGCUAGUGUAAAAGUAAUAAAGCCUGUACUCAAUUAGCCUCGAUUCCAGGCCGCUUAAACAACAGCCUGGAAUCGAGGCUAGUACUCAAUAGGGGUUGUCCGGGUUGUCUAAGUUCACCGUGUUUGAAGCAGUGACGUCAUUAUAAACAUUACAUCAUUACAAAUAAUCUUAGUUAAAAAACUGAAGGAUUCAGCACCAUGCAUCAUGAGAGAUAUAAUAUACAGUCUCGAGCUCUCAUACAGGGCCAGUAGAGACUCAGAGGGAUGCUUACGCCUAGCUGGAGGACCUUGCUCACUGGAGGAACUUGCUCACUUUUGUGAGGGUAGGACUAGUAAUGUAUUGAUAACAGGAUGACCAGUGUGGCAUUCUUCUGUUGGCAGUGAAACAAAAUAGAGGUAUUAUGACCAAACUGACAAUUCAACUGCCGAGUUUCAGCAAUGCAUAAUAGUGAUAUUAUUCCGUUCCAUCCGUCCACGAUUCCAGAAGAGUCAGUGGGUGACUGUCAUCUGUAUCUGUGGAAUUGUGCACUCAAAAACUAACUCCCCUCACCCCCUUUCAAAUGUUCUGUUUGAUGUAUAGUGCUCAUAUUUUCUUGCUGCAUUAAUUGCACUUACUAGAAGCUUUUGAUCUAUACGUGUACCAAGUCUAACAGUGAAUGGCCUUUUGCUUUGAGAUGAGAUGAUAGGAGACUAUCAAGGUCUUCAACCUAUCCCUCAAGUCAUAGUAGAUUUAAUUCCCCUAGGCCUUGUGCUUGUGCUAUAAUCCCUUUGUCCACUGCCCGGCUAGCCAUGCAUGCAGCUCGGUCUCAGAUGCAGCAUAGAUAGUAGAGGAAGGGGAUUGUGAACGAGAUCACGUGAACUCAAUUUCAUGGACUGUCCGUGUUAGACGGAAGCAUUAGCAGAAUGGCCGGAAGUAGACAGGAAGUAUAUAGAUCUGUGUUGCUGGGUAUGGUUGCAGCCUCCUCUGUGGGCCCUCCUGCUAGUGAAGACAUAUCAAGGAAGUAGGGACUCUGAGCUAUGUGUGUAUGCAAGCUUUUAGUUUUGAAAUUCUUUUUUUUGUAGGUUCUUUCUACUCUGGAAAUGUGUCCAUGCUCUACAAUUAUACAAUAUAAAAUAUCCAUGACAACUCAUCAUCUAUAUAACAUUAUUAUGAACUGCAGACAAGCCAUGACAUUGUAAAGAUACACGUACAUUAUGAACGAUAUGAGUCAGAAUGUGUUGUCAGAGUCCGGUCUUCUGCGUUUGGGUAACGGUUCGUGAACAAUUUUUUGACAGAACUUACCUGAUCAACUAUAUAAUAAGUGUAGAAGAGUAAUGCUUUCACAAAUCUAAUUAAACAUUUAAGGCCAGGAUUUUCAUCACAAAAGUUCAGGGAAUCGAUGUAUCUCAAUCAAAAUAGCACAGCACGCUGGUAACUUAGGUUGAAAGAACUGGAGUGAUGAGGAGAGAGGGGGUGUAAGGGUAUAUUCAGAACGUACUGACAAAUUCCAAAUGAGCUGGCACUGAACACACGAGGUGACGAUGACAUCAACUCUUGGCAGCUUGACAAUGGUGAGCACGUUCUUGACGGCAAUUAGUUCAACACUGACUUGGCAACCAAGAAGUGGAGAGAUUCAAGAGUUGCUGGUCGACUCAGGUAAAGGCUGAUGAGAGCAGACGGGGGAUGUCUACUGCUUCUUGCUUUUCUUUUGCUGAAAAAAACGCAAUUUCUGACUUCCCAUGCCCAUUGUUUACAAUCACACCUGUGUGGGAAAAGAGCAACAUGACAUUUUCACACUUUUUCAUUGAGGAAAAAUUCUUCUUUCGAGUUAGUACAGCUACUAUGUAAUAGCUAUUCUCAUAGAGUAAAGCUAAAAGAAUCAGAAAAUUCACACUAAAACUUUCAAUUGUGAACAGUCAGAUCAGGACACCCCACACAAAGAAGGCACCCCAUUCGACUUAUUUCACAACACUGGAGAACAACAAAAAGCUUACAUAUCAAAAAAAGGGGCUAUCCUGUUAAAGCUCAAGUCAAGGAAACAGCCAAUAUGCUUACUAGCUUCUAAAAGUGUAUCAGAAACUAGAUUCUCCCCAAACAGUGCUAAAAACAGGUAAAUGGUAAGUCAUAGCUAACUUGUAGCUCAACAGGUAUAUCUUAUUACUUAAAACGCUCAAAAUAUUGUUAGUAUAGAUUACUACUGACAUUAAAGCUCUUAGAUAGUCGUUUCUUACCUUUAGAACCGAGUAAAACUCUGAAAAGUCUUUAGCCCGCUCAAAAUUAGUCAAUUCGCGGUCUAACGCGGAUAGACCUCAGCUCUCAUGUAUGAUCUAUAGCGCACGUGAUCUCGUUCACAAUCCCCUUCCUCUACUAUCUAUG